rnacentral:misc_RNA from 1 species
AGCACAUUCAAUUCAUGAGACAUUAGAAAAUUCCAAGUCACAAAUCAUCCAAAAUAUAUAAAUGAUUAUAACAAAUAGAUAACUUUCCUGAUGACAAAAAGCAUAAGCCCUUAAGCACAAUAUUAUAACACACUAUAUACUGCUGCAAAUACAACAAAAAUUACAAAUUCAAGAUUGGAUAAUAAGUUAAAAGAAUUAUCGCACAUACAAGGUGGACAACCAAAGCAAAGAAAAGCAUAUGGUUCGUUGUUUAGCUUGUGCUGGACACUGGCAUACCCAGAUAUAUCUAUUCAGGCUUUCUAGAGAGAAUAUUUUAUAAAACCAGAUAUCAUAGAGAGACCAAUUAACUGAGACGUCUGCGACCUUUUCUAAAACUCAAGGAAUUACACACAUUGAUCUCUGACAUCUUAAUAAAUCUCUCAAAUAAUAGACAAAAUUCUAAAAUAAUUUUGGAUAAUGAAUCCAUAUUUUGAAGGUAGAGGAAAACAUCAAGAAUACUUGUUUUUACUGAAAGAAUAAUCAUACACUGAAAAUUUUCGAAACAAUAUUAGGUGCAAGUCAUCAAAAAACAGAAAACUUAGGGUGAGGUGCAGCGAUAGGAAAAUAAUGAAACUAACAGGAAGCUUGUAGAAGAUUUCUAGCGUCAGCAAAUGGGAAAUGACAUGAAGCUUACCCAAAGUUCACUAAGCCCUUUAUCCAACAAUAGAAUCUAUCGGAACGGACACCAAACCACAUUUAUAGCACAAUUACAAACACUUUGUACUAGAACGAUAUCGAUUGCUAUCCUAAAAGGACGAUAAACCAAUGCUACUCCAGGCCGAGAAAAUUUACACAAAGAAGCAUGUACACUAUCAAAUAAAUCAAUCUGAAUCCCAUCAUCGAGAAAUAUGAAAAGAAAACGAGAGAAGCGAACUUACGGGAGUUGGCCAUGGAGAUUUCA